GUGGUGAAGUUCAGAUUUCAAGUUCCUUUAAUGCCACUAGGUUAUUGUUUAAUCACAAGUGUCCAGAAUUUGCUGAUUUUGUUAAAAGCUUACCAUCUGUGUGCACUCCUAUCAGGUGAAUUCAAUCAGAAUCAAAGCUCUCUGUGUUAAAGAAUGAGCGUGGAUCUACAAGUACUAAGUUUGAGAUAUCUGAUUUCUGGAGUGCUGCAAAGAUCCUUGGGUGAUUGGGUUUGUACUACUUAUGUGUGGCUGUUUUGGUUUUAAGUGUAAAAUGUGUCUAAGUUUGUGUACUUACUGCUAUCCAAGUAAGCUAUUUUGUAAUCUUAGGCGUAUAUCUUAUGUAAUGCAGUUAAACUGUACCUAUAUGUAGCCUAUUUUGUAAAACACUUAUGUAUGC